UACGGUAGGGGGCGAGCGUUGUCCGGAUUUAUUGGGCGUAAAGAGCUCGUAGGCGGUUGGGUAAGUCGGGAUGUGAAAACUCAGGGCUCAACUCUGAGACGCCACUCGAUACUGCUCUGACUCGAGUCCGGUAGGGGAGCGUGGAAUUCCCGGUGUAGCGGUGAAAUGCGCAGAUAUCGGGAGGAACACCAGUGGCGAAGGCGGCGCUCUGGGCCGGAACUGACGCUGAGACGCGAAAGCGUGGGGAUCAAACAGG
rnacentral:rRNA from 1 species